ACAGUAGGAUAUAGGACAGAUGCUGGCUGAACAGUAGGAUAUAGGACAGAUAUAGCCUCUGAACAGUAGGAUAUAGGACAGAUAUAGCCUCUGAACAGUAGGAUAUAGGACAGAUGCUGGCUGAACAGUAGAAUAUAGGACAGAUAUAGCCUCUGAACAGUAGGAUAUAGGACAGAUAUAGGCUCUGAACAGUAGGAUAUAGGACAGAUAUAGCCUCUGAACAGUGUAUGUUCCAUACUGCAUGUAUUAUAGUGGAUUUGUUUGCUGACUUCACAAAAUAAAUGUCCAUGUAAAUGGGCUAGGUCUAAAUGUCAAUGUAAAUGGGCUAGGUCUAAAUGGGCUAGGUCUAAAUGGGCUAGGUCUAAAUGUCGGUGUAAAUGGGCUAGGUCUAAAUGGGCUAGGUCUAAAUGUCCAUGUAAAUGGGCUAAGUCUAAAUGGGCUAGGUCUAAAUGUCCAUGUAAAUGGGCUAAGUCUAAAUGUCCAUGUAAAUGGGCUAGGUCUAAAUGGGCUAGGUCUAAAUGGGCUAAGUCUAAAUGUCCAUGUAAAUGGGCUAAGUCUAAAUGUCCAUGUAAAUGGGCUAGGUCUAAAUGUCGGUGUAAAUGGGCUAAGUCUUAAUGUCGGUGUAAAUGGGCUAAGUCUACUGUAUUUUGUAUAUCGUACUUUGCUCUCAUUUUGAGAGAAAUAAAAUCCAGUUCGAUUCCCAACUCAGUAACUCAGAUCAGCUUUAAUAUUGAACAUAGAUUGUAACUCAGACCUUGGGGGAAGAUCAGCUUUAAUAUUGAACAUAGAUUGUAACUCAGGCCUUGGGGAAGUUCUGCUUUAAUAUUGAACAUAGAUUGUUGAUUCCAUCAAUGUAAUUGUCUGC
ensembl:lncRNA